GACGAACGCUGGCGGCGUGCCUAAUACAUGCCAGUCGAGCGAAGUUUUUCUGGUGCUUGCACUAGAAAAACUUAGCGGCGAACGGGUGAGUAACACGUAAAGAACCUGCCUCAUGGACUGGGACAACUAUUGGAAACGAUAGCUAAUACCGGAUAACAGUAUUUUUCGCAUGAGAGAUAUUUAAAAGUUGGUUAUGCUAACACUAUGAGAUGGCUUUGCGGUGCAUUAGCUAGUUGGUGGGGUAAAGGCCCACCAAGGCGACGAUGCAUAGCCGACCUGAGAGGGUGAUCGGCCACACUGGGACUGAGACACGGCCCAGACUCCUACGGGAGGCAGCAGUAGGGAAUCUUCCGCAAUGGGCGAAAGCCUGACGGAGCAACGCCGCGUGAGUGAAGAAGGAUUUCGGUUCGUAAAGCUCUGUUGUUAGGGAAGAAUGGAUAUGUAGUAACUAUACAUGUAAGAGACGGUACCUAACCAGAAAGCCACGGCUAACUACGUG
rnacentral:rRNA from 1 species